UGUGGUUGACAAUCUUGUAAGACAUGUACGUUCUUAGUGUAUUUACCAUACAUGUGGUAUAAAAAAACCACUUGUUUUGGGGAGAAAAUCUGCCGACUCAAGAUCCUGCAUCCAAUCCUGAAUUUUAGUGAAUAGAUUUUUUAAUCCGAAUAGUAUUUCCUUUCAGAAAAUGAAGUACAUUGUUUUUAUUGUCGUGUUUGUUGUGAUAGUAUUGUUUGGUGUAAAUGGACAAUCAGGUCGUGGUGGAAUAGGUGGUUCUCCUGGACAACCUGGACAACCUGGAGAACCUGGAAAACCUGGAUGGGACUUUGAACCAAUUGAUUAUCGUGGAGGAGGAUGUACGGGAGAACCUGGUAGCCCUGGUGGUAUAGGAGGGACGGGAGGGAGAGGAGGAAGAGGUUGUUAAAAGAGAUUAUUGGUGCUCCAACUAGAGGGUUAUCAGAAGAUGAAAAUGUAAACCAAAAUAAUUCUAUCAGAAUUUAGUAAUAAAAGUAUUUUAAAUGAA